rnacentral:lncRNA from 1 species
GGGGGCGCGCGAGGGCCUCCGGGCCCCGCGGGCGGGGCGGGUGCUGGACCCGGAGGGGCCUUCCGGCAACUUUUUGGUUGGUGCCGCCCCGCCCAGGCCCCUUUUAAACUUGAUCUCCGCAGUGCCCUCCCUUUUCGGCCGCGGCGCGUGACUGGGCUUGGUGGAGUUUCAAGAUGCUGAUGAACUUAAGGUCUGGCGCUUGAAAGAAUCAGUGAAGCUUUUCAAGUAGAGGAGUGGUGUUUCCAGUGAAAUCUAUGGCAAGAUGGUUUGGGGUCACUAUCUACAUGAACUGCCAAGUUGGAAAAUCAAAAAUACAUCAAAAUCACUCUUGGGACAUAAGUCACGGAAGUGACUCAUGCACACAAUAAAUACCCAAGAAGCAGGACCAGACGGCAGUUGUGUAUUGGCACGCUCAUCAGUGCUGCAAAAAUUCCCCUUCUGGAUGGCAACAACAAUGCUGUAUCCACAGCAGCAUUUUAAAUCUCACCUCUGAUGUAUCCAUUGUUGUGGGCAUGAGAUGGCAGAAAGUGGGAUAUGGAAAAUGUUGCCGUGCGCCAUUCCGAAUACUACUGUGGCUUCCCUGCAGCAUUACUUUCCAUAUUGGCUGUUUUCCAUUUCAGGAAAGCUUAGGAUGUCCUUGGUAAAUACUGGCUAACCAAGAAAUUUGAAAAAUGAAAGGAGGCUGAGUAAUUGGUCUUGGGUUGAAACGGGGUGAUGCUGCAUAAACUACGUGGUUGACUCUGAAAAGCUGGCUAAAAAGCCAGUCUGCAUUCCUUGUCCUCAUUUCCUUGGAGUAAUGAAGGGUGCUUCUUAGAAGAGGGAUAGAUUCAAGUAUGGGUUGUGAGUCAUUCUUCUUUUCUGUAUGUAAUAGGUCUAACCACAGGGCCUGUUGAGCCCUGCCCUGGUGACCAAGAGCAUUUUCUGACAUGAACAGAGUUAGGCCAUCUUGCCCGUAUGAGCAGAGUUCUUCAGAUGUCCCUUAGGAUUCUAGGUUUCAUACCUUCCCUGCCACUCCCCCACUACCAAAUCCCCUUACCCUAUAGCCUAGCAAUGCAGAGUUGUCCAAUAUAGAACCUCUGUUAAACAUAGCAUCACCCAGGAAAAUGGGAUGAGUGGUUGCAGUCAGUACCACAGUUCUGCAGAAUCAACUUGCUUACCUUAGUACAUUGCCUGUCUACGUGUUUAGCAGAGCUAAAAGCAGGAAUGGACUGUUAAACUACCAUCCUUUUGUGCUCAAGUGCCAUGAAGAGAAGCAAACCUGGAGUUGAAAGUUUUCAAAGAGGGCUUCCAAGUGAGGAACUUGGGCAUGUGAAUCUUUAAUUAUGACUAUAAAAGAAAUUGUGAUUGGAAAUAGAAUUUUUAUGCUAGUGGUUAUGAUUUCAUUGAAAAUAGGAAAUCUUAUUUAAGAACUCUGGUCACAAAACCUCCCCAGAUAGUGACGUAAAUAAGACCCAGUGUAACAACUGUGGCAUUGACAUGUCAGUUCAUGUAGAUUGAGUCACAAUUUGAUUUCGAGAAUGGCCAUAUCCCAUUUUGUCUUACUCCAUGGUGUUCCUGAGCACUUGGAUACAAAUAGAUUCUGUUUCCUAAAAGUAGCCAAAUCUUUGUAGUUCAAGUGAAUAUUCCAGACUAAAAUAUGUGUCUUUUUGAAGGUCCUUAAGCCUUACAUACUUAAUUGUGUAAUUUGGCAAAUAUUUGCUGUUGUGUUGUGUCAAGUCCUGUGAUAGAGACAGUUCCUACCUUUCUGGAGCUUUCACAGUGUGACUCAUUUCAGUACGUAAGUCGGAGCCAGUUUUAAUAGAAUGUUCUCUGGUUGACUUCUGUUGUAAGGAAUAAUUUCAUUUCAUGUCUGGGUCAAUAUGUGAAAGAUUAAAUUAUUAGGGCAAACUGAAAAAAAAAAUCUAGUUUUACCCCCCCACCACCACAUUCCCAAAAUAAUUUAGCAUGGUUUAUAACAAAUAUCAAGCAACAAUAAUUAGAAGCAGAUAAAAGCUCAGCAAGUAGAGGGCAAGAAUAAAAAACCUAACUGUUAGAUCUCAUGCUGUAGGCUCCAGCCAAGUUGUCUCUGAGCUUCCUAAGAGCAAAGAGCCAACUGGCAAGUUAGUAAUCAGGCAAUUGCCAUAAUUUUCUAAUGGAGGAGGGGAGUGGUCAUGUGCAUUCUAAGCUCUUUAAAGCCGAGGAGUAAGCUUUCUUUCCUUCAUGAUCUCAAGUACUCUACUUUGAAGAAAGGAAUGGAACAGAAGGUGUCUGCAUAACUAAAUGGGGAUCUAGAGAAAGUGGAGACUGCCUCUGGAGCAGGGAGGUGAGUGGACCAGAUCACUGUGGGCCUGGGCCUACUCAGCUGAUUUUCAAGCUAAAACCAGGGGUAACUUUUCCUCUUGAGACGAAAGCCAUGCUCACAUUCUGUGAACAGCCAGAGAUGUGUUCGAAAGGCUUACUUUUAUUUUGUACUAGAAAAGAUUGUCUUUCCAAAAUUUACCUCGUAUUCAUAAACUGGAAAGUUCUGAUGGCAAUAUUUUGUUACAAAAUUGUCAUUAAUCACAAUCCAGGAUUAUGCCACCAUGACUAGAAGGCCCCCUAAUGGAGUUUAUCUGCACUGCAAGGGGCCAGUUGUCUCAGAAUCAUCCUCCGUUGACAUCUCCAUCUCCAGGACAGCUCCACACUAAUCUGUUUCAAAGACAAAAUCCAGUCUAAUCAGUUUGAUGUAUGUUUCUGGGAAUAGAGCCGAAUGUUGUAGCUGAUGGAAUGGAGUCUCAUACCAUUGAUUUUGCAGCUGGACAAGUGCCCUGCCAUGUUACUGCCACUCUUUAAGGCAGAAUAGAGCACAUUGUAUCAUUUAUAGGCCUCUCACAGUGAGAAAUAUGUGGAACUUUGGAAAUCAGAAUCUAAAACUGCAGUCCAAUGGGGUAGCCACUAUUCACAUGUGCUAUUGAGUACCUAAAAUGUGGCUAGACCAAGUUGACAUGUGCUGAAGGGUGAAAAACACCAGGAGUGAAGAAUUAACUUGAAAAAAAUGUAAACUAUCUCAAUUUUAUAUUGAUUACAAAUUAAAUGAUGUUUUGAAUAUAUUGAGUUAAAUGAAAUACAUUUUUUAAUGAUA